AUUGAACGCUGGCGGAAUGCUUUACACAUGCAAGUCGAACGGCAGCACGGACUUCGGUCUGGUGGCGAGUGGCGAACGGGUGAGUAAUGUAUCGGAACGUGCCCAGUCGUGGGGGAUAACGUAGUGAAAAUUACGCUAAUACCGCAUACGAUCUAUGGAUGAAAGCAGGGGAUCGCAAGACCUCGCGCGAUUGGAGCGGCCGAUAUCAGAUUAGGUAGUUGGUGGGGUAAAGGCCCACCAAGCCAACGAUCUGUAGCUGGUCUGAGAGGACGACGAGCCACACUGGAACUGAGACACGGUCCAGACUCCUACGGGAGGCAGCAGUGGGGAAUUUUGGACAAUGGGCGAAAGCCUGAUCCAGCCAUUCCGCGUGCAGGAUGAAGGCCCUCGGGUUGUAAACUGCUUUUGUACAGAACGAAAAGGUUUCUACUAAUACUAGGAGCUCAUGACGGUACUGUAAGAAUAAGCACCGGCUAACUACGUGCCAGCCGCCGCGGUAA
rnacentral:rRNA from 1 species